AUUACUACCAGGGAUUAAUUAUAAAGGUUAUGGACAAACUGCAGUCGUGGAAAGGCAAACUCCUUUCUGUAGGAGGCAGGGCUGUAUUGAUCGCAAAUGUUCUGCAAAGUAUUCCAAUUCAUACGUUGUCAGCAGUUAAUCCUCCAAGCUAUGUGAUCAACAAAUUACAUAGUAUGUUUGCAAAUUUUUUCUGGAGCAGCAAUGUGGGAGGAAGCUCAAGACAUUGGUCAUCAUGAACUAACCUGUGUAUGCCUUUUGAGGAAGGGGGUAUUGAUUUCAGAUCCCUUCAUGAUGUAUCCAAGGCACUGUUCUGCAAAUUGUGGUGGAAUUUUAGGACAAAACCCAGUUUAUGGAGUGCAUUUAUGUGUCAAAAAUA
rnacentral:lncRNA from 1 species